UGAUUCUGUCGCCAAUUCGUAAUCGCUGCCAGCGCGGCCGUAAAUAAGCGGGCAAAUAAUUCCACUGCUGGCUCCAUGGCGGCGGCGGUGGCAGACGUGGUAUAGUUGAAAGGUGGUAGGAAGCGAAAUGAGAAUGAUUUAUUAACAGUGAGCUAAUGACACGUGCUAACAAGUGGUUAUUGAGACAAGCGCCUUCGCGACAUGACAGUUUCUGAUGGUCGAGAGUUCGACGAAGGUCCGUUUGUUUAAGAUUUUGUUCAGUGGCAGUCCAACAACACGUCUACAUGCUAUUCUUCUGAAGCUGGAUGUGUUACGACCUUCGUAGCACUUAGGGCGCCUGCCGGUGAACGAGGAAUGUUUGCGAAAUUUUGCGAAGCUACGCAGGCGACGGGCGGGCCCCGCACUGGGUACGGAUGGAGCACUGGAAGUCCAGCCAUGAAAUACCAACAGGAUAGCUCUUCGAGAUUUUUCUUUUAAACA
rnacentral:lncRNA from 1 species